rnacentral:rRNA from 1 species
GACGAACGCUGGCGGCGUGCUUAACACAUGCAAGUCGAACGGUAAGGCCCUUCGGGGUACACGAGUGGCGAACGGGUGAGUAACACGUGGGUGAUCUGCCCUGCACUUCGGGAUAAGCCUGGGAAACUGGGUCUAAUACCGGAUAGGACCACUGCCUGAAUGGGCGGUGGUGGAAAGCUUUUGUGGUGUGGGAUGGGACCGCGGCCUAUCAGGUUGUUGGUGGGGUGAUGGCAGGCCAAGGCGACGACGGGUAGCCGGCCUGAGAGGGUGACCGGCCACACUGGGACUGAGAUACGGCCCAGACUCCUACGGGAGGCAGCAGUGGGGAAUAUUGCACAAUGGGCGCAAGCCUGAUGCAGCGACGCGGCGUGAGGGAUGACGGCCUUCGGGUUGUAAACCUCUUUCAGCACCGACGAAGCGCAAGUGACGGUAGGUGCAGAAGAAGGACCGGCCAACUACGUGCCAGCAGCCGCCGUAA